CCUCCCAGAGAGGAGGAAUCAGAAACCACGCCACAGUGCCUGUCAUAAAAGGUCACUUUUUUUGCUCGGAACAAACCAUUAAUCAAUAGAGUGUAAUUGUCCGAGCGCUUGCAAGGGCUCUGCAGCGGAGGGACCUUGUUUUUCACUCGCAUAAUUGCAAAACAGCAAAAGUUCAGAAACAUAACCCAAAUCCACCUCCCCAUUUUACCCCUUUACAAUUCCCACUGCCCUUUGGGCCUCUUCUUGGAAGCAAAUGGAAGACAAGCUGAAGUUCUCUCAAUUGAGCCGGAGCUAAGAAACCUUUGAUAUGCUAAUACCCUCCUUCAAACGGCACCCCCCAUCCCGCACGGGCUGGGAGCCGGGCGCUCGGCAGAGUUACACGAAUACACCCGCAACAGUUCCCCACACUCCGCUCCGCAGCAAAAGCGCGAUGCAGCCAGGCUCCCGCACGCACGCACACAAGAAAUAAAUUCAGUAAAAAAAAAAAAAUUAAAAAAAGCCGAAAUGGAGAGGAGGACGGGCGCAGUGCAG